GUGCCAGCCGCCGCGGUAAGACAGAGGGUGCAAACGUUGUUCGGAAUUACUGGGCGUAAAGCGCGUGUAGGCGGCUACGUAAGUCGGACGUGAAAUCCCACGGCUCAACUGUGGAAGUGCGCUCGAAACUGUGUAGCUUGAGUCCUGGAGAGGAAAGCGGAAUACUUGGUGUAGAGGUGAAAUUCGUAGAUAUCAGGUAGAACACCAGUGGCGAAGGCGGCUUUCUGGACAGUGACUGACGCUGAGACGCGAAAGCGUGGGGAGCAAACAGGAUUAGAAACCCUCGUAGUCC
rnacentral:rRNA from 1 species